rnacentral:rRNA from 1 species
UUCCUACGGGAGGCAGCAGUGAGGAAUAUUGCACAAUGGGCGCAAGCCUGAUGCAGCAACGCCGCGUGGGGGAUGAAGGCCUUCGGGUCGUAAACCCCUUUUCCAUGGGAAGAGAAAGGACGGUACCAUGGGAAUAAGUCUCGGCUAACUACGUGCCAGCAGCCGCGGUAAAACGUAGGAGGCGAACGUUAUCCGGAAUUACUGGGCGUAAAGCGCGCGCAGGCGGCUUUGUAAGUCCGACGUGAAAGCUCCCGGCUUAACUGGGAGAGGCCGUUGGAUACUGCGGAGCUUGAGGUUAGGAGAGGAAAGCGGAAUUCCCGGUGUAGUGGUGGAAUGCGUAGAUAUCGGGAGGAACUCCAGAGGCGAAGGCGGCUUUCUGGCCUACACCUGACGCUGAGGCGCGAAAGCGUGGGGAGCGAACAGGAUUAGAUACCCUGGUAGUCCACGCUGUAAACGAUGUGAACUAGGUGUUGGUGGUAUCGACCCCAUUAGUGCCGUAGCUAACGCGUUAAGUUCACCGCCUGGGGACUACGGCCGCAAGGCUAAAACUCAAAUGAAUUGACGGAA